rnacentral:rRNA from 1 species
GAUAAACGCUGGCGGCGUGCCUAAAACAUGCAAGUCGAACGGUCUCGUGCCUUCGGGUGCGGGGUAGUGGCGGACGGCUGAGUAACACGUGGGUGACCUGCCCCGGAGCGGGGGAUAACUGCCCGAAAGGGUGGCUAAUACCGCAGACAUCAUGGAUUCGGUUUCAUGAUUGAACCCUUUGGGGGUUCUGGGAGGGGCCCGCGGCCGAUUAGCUGGCUGGUGGGGUAACGGCCUACCAGGGCGACGAUCGGUAGCGGUCUGAGAGGAUGAUCAGCCAGACUGGGACUGCGAACGGCCCAGACUCCUACGGGAGGCAGCAGUGGGGAAUCUUGCGCAAUGGGCGAAAGCCUGACGCAGCGACGCCGCGUGAGGGAUGACGGCC